CAGCAGCCGCGGGAAUACGAAGGGGGCUAGCGUUGCUCGGAAUGACUGGGCGUAAAGGGCGCGUAGGCGGUGGCCAAAGUCAGGCGUGAAAUUCCCGGGCUCAACCUGGGGGCUGCGCUUGAUACUUGGUUGCUUGAGUGGGGAAGAGGGUCGUGGAAUUCCCAGUGUAGAGGUGAAGUUCGUAGAUAUCGGAAGGAACACCUGUGGCGAAAGCGGCUCACUGGACCACAACUGACGCUGAGGCACGAAAGCUAGGGGAGCAAACAGGAUUAGAUACCCCGGUAGUCCCUGUCUCUUAUAC
rnacentral:rRNA from 1 species